rnacentral:misc_RNA from 1 species
UCCGGCUUGUCACCGGCAGUUUCCUUAGAGUCCCCAUCAUAACAUGCUGGUAACUAAGGAUGAGGGUUGCGCUCGUUGCGGGACUUAACCCAACAUCUCACGACACGAGCUGACGACAGCCAUGCAACACCUGUCUAGCAGCCGGUUGCCCAGCCCAAAGGAUCUCUCCUAAGGUUCCACUAGAUGUCGAGGCCUGGUAAGGUUUUUCGUGUUGCAUCGAAUUAAACCACAUGCUCCACCGCUUGUGCGGGUCCCCGUCAAUUCCUUUGAGUUUUAAUCUUGCGACCGUACUCCCCAGGCGGGGUGCUUAACGCGUUAGCUACAUCACCGAAACAUAAAGUCCCGACAACUAGCACCCAUCGUUUAGGGCGUGGACUAC